rnacentral:rRNA from 1 species
UACGUAGGGGGCAAGCGUUGUCCGGAAUCAUUGGGCGUAAAGAGCGUGUAGGCGGCUCGGUAAGUCCGUUCUGAAAGUCCGGGGCUCAACCCCGGGAUGCCAGGGGAUACUGCGAGGCUGGAGACAAGCAGAGGUUGGUAGAAUUCCGGGUGUAGCGGUGGAAUGCGUAGAGAUCCGGAGGAAUACCAGAGGCGAAGGCGGCCAACUGGGCUUGUUCUGACGCUGAGGUGCGAAAGCGUGGGGAGCGAACAGG